GCGCCUGCGCGGUCGGCGCCUCCAAGGCUGUGUACCCUGCUCUCGGCUUCCAAAGUCGCGCUGCGUAUGGGUUCUCUGAAUCCGAAGGGUUUCCUAGCGGUUUAUUGAAGUGCCGCCAGGUUAAAUUGUCCCGCCUACUUUCUGCCUUCCAGCUGGCUGUAUCCUGCCCUCACUCUAUACCCAGACAAGUCCUGUGACUGUAACCAAACUUCCGAGAGUGGUUUCUUGAGCUCUAUCAAAGCUUGUGCAAAGCUGCCCUGACAGGAAGUGACCAAGCCCACCCUCACGCCUGUUGCCUCAUCGCCCAGUUCAGAGAAUUUGUGACUCAAAGCCUCUAACAAACAUUAAUGUGUUUGGGAAGAUUCUAAGAUGCAAUCCCAUCAAUGUUGUUUGAAAUAAAAUUGUUAUUGUGGGCUGA